rnacentral:lncRNA from 1 species
UAAAUAAACUCAUCAUAGAUAUCAGGACAAAAUUUUGUAUAUACGCCAGACAUGCGUUUCGUCUACAAAAGACUCAUCAGUGACGCUCGAAUCCCAAAAAAUUAAAAAAAGCCAAAUAAAGUACGAAGUUGAAGAGCAUUGAGGACUAAAAUUCCUAAAAGUUUUGCCAAAUCCAGCUAAUCUAUGCCUGAGGUAGAAAAGCCUUAGUAUUUCAAAAAUUCUAAAUUUUGUAAACAGUUAAUUUAUAAAUAUAACCAUAUCAAUGAUAAUUCAUGUCAGCACAAAACGUGCUGACUACUGGGCUGGUGAUACCCACGGGGAAUAUAAAUCUCCACCAGCAGUGGCAUCGACCCAGUGGUUGUAAAUAAACUCAUCAUAGAUAUCAGGACAAAAUAUUGUAUAUACGCCAGACGCGCGUUUCGUCUACAAAAGACUCAUCAGUGACGCUCGAAUCCCAAAAAAUUAAAAAAAGCCAAAUAAAGUACGAAGUUGAAAAGCAUUGAGGACUAAAAUUCCUAAAAGUUUUG